UGCCAAUGCGAGAUAGAAAGAUUACCCCUC
rnacentral:piRNA from 1 species